rnacentral:tRNA from 1 species
CAGAAGAUAGUUAAAUGAGAGAAUGUUGGCUUUGGGAGCCGAUGGUGGGAGUUUGAGUCUCCUUUUUCUGA